GCCGGCGUAGUUCAAUGGUAGAACGAAGGACUCAUAAGCCUUAGACGAUGGUCCGAUUCCAUCCGCCGGCACUA
rnacentral:tRNA from 2 species